GAUGAAGAACGUAGCGAAAUGCGAUACUUGGUGUGAAUUGCAGAAUCCCGUGAACCAUCGAGUCUUUGAACGCAAGUUGCGCCCGAAGCCACUAGGCCGAGGGCACGCCUGCCUGGGCGUCACACGCCGUUGCCCCCCCAUCUACUCCUUCGGGAUUGCGGGGGGGCGGAUGAUGACCUCCCGUGCGCCUAGCCGCGCGGUUGGCAUAAAUACCAAGUCCUCGGCGACGCACGCCACGACAAUCGGUGGUUGCGAAACCUCGGUUGCCCGUCGUGUGCGUUCGUCGCGCAUCGAGGGCUCGAAAAAAUGCUCGGCUCCGGCUGGGCUUUCAACGCGACCCCAGGUCAGGCGGGGUUACCCGCUGAAUUUAAGCAUAUCAAUAAGCGGAGGA
rnacentral:misc_RNA from 1 species